GCCCGGUUGGCUCAGUUGGUUGGGCAUCUGACUUCAGCUCAGGCCAUAAUCUUACAGUUCAUGAGUUUGAACCCCGUGUCAGGCU
rnacentral:tRNA from 1 species